AUUAAGUACCACUUUGUCGACAACCGCCCACCUCUACCAUCACCAUAACCACGGUCAACCACACGAACCGUCACCAAGCACCAACCACCUUUGUCAUCAACUACCACUGUCAACCACUAUUGUUAGUCGAUACCACACCUAACACCUCCAUCAUUAAUUAUAUCUAAUGACGCUACCACUACCGGUCACUACCACCACUCUGGACAAUUCCUACUAACAACCACCUCCACAAUUACAACUAAAACCUCCGCCAACUACCACCAACACUAACACCAUCAUCAACCACCUCACAUUCUUCCGCCACCACUAACUACUAUCAUCAACCUACUAACAAUCAUCAUCACCACCACCAUCGCAACAACCACUACAACACCAGCCACCUUCACCAACAUAACUAUCACCACCACCAUUACUAGCCACUAGUACCAACCAUCACCAUCACCACCGCCACUGCAAUCCAGUUACACCAUUACUAGCGAAUAUAAA
rnacentral:misc_RNA from 1 species